UGAACGCUGGCGGCGUGCCUAACACAUGCAAGUUGAGCGGUAAGGCCCCUUCGGGGGUACACGAGCAGCGAACGGGUGAGUAUCGCGUGGGUAAUCUACCUAGAGGUAGGGGAUAGCCUCGGGAAACCGAGGGUAAUACCGCAUAAGUCCUCGACGGCAUAAGUCGACGAGGGGAAAGGCGGGGCUCCUUCGGGACCUGUCGCCUCUGGAUGAGCCCGCGUCCGAUUAGCUAGUUGGUGAGGUAAUGGCUCACCAAGGCAACGAUCGGUAGCCGGCCUGAGAGGGUGAACGGCCACAUUGGGACUGAGACACGGCCAGACUCCUACGGGAGGCAGCAGUGGGGAAUUUUGGGCAAUGGGGGAAACCCUGACCCAGCGACGCCGCGUGGAGGAUGACGGCCUUCGGGUUGUAAACUCCUGUCAGGUGGGAAGAAGAGCUUGUCGGAUAAUACUCGGCAGGAAUUGACGGUACCACCAAAGGAAGCCCGGCUAACUCCGUG
rnacentral:rRNA from 1 species